CGAAUUGUGGAAGAGGCAAGAGUGAUCGGUUCAGUGUGUCGCGUCGUGGUGUGCUUAAUUAGUUAAUCGUUCCGUAUAGAUAAAACGGACUUAAUAGUAGGCGGCAAGUGUGUGUUGUUUCUUUGUACAAGAGGAUUCGCGGCCGCGGAGGCCAUUGCCGGCACAUCACCCAAAGUCAGAGAUCGCUCUUGACCCCACCUUUCGAUUUCGGAGGAUACCCGGGACACGCGUGGCCGGAAGAGGGUAGCACUCACUAAUUCCGCACCCUGGACAGGCAGGUCGCUACCAACAAACCGUGUCGUCAGCCAGCAACAGCAACCGAAGACGAGCUGGGACGAUCGAACGCACGUGUCGCGUUCGCGCAUAAGUCCGCGUAUCCAGUGGAGAGAGGGCAAAAUCGCAUCGUCUGAUUGCAGCCGUGAUCGUACAGGACCGGAGUAGUGUGCUUCAGCAGCUUCGGUGCCACCGCCGGCCCACCCACACCCAUCGAAACACCCGCACGUAAUUCCUAGGUUGUCGCGUAAGUACCAGGCAAGCAUGCUUAUUGUUUUUGUGUCGUCCAUGCGCAUGUGACCGAAAGGCACGAACAAUAGUCGGUCCAUCAACCGACCGUGUAUGAAUGGAGUCCAUUGACUAAACCUCCGUACCGUACACCCAUUAAAUAUCGUCUCCCCUAAACACCGCCACCGCAGCAUGUGGCUGAAAUAGGUAGCUGCAGCGCCCCGAAAUCGUGAUGCAGAAAGUGUAGCCGUAGCCGUGUAGUAAACACUUGUAUCCGUAGCCGCAGAAGUGAGUCUUUGCUAGGAGCGCAUGAGGGAAGAAGAGUAAACCUGUUGUAGAACACACACGAUAGGGAUCGCCCGUAGAGAGCGAACAAGCGUAGAAGGGAAAGGAAAGACCUAGGCGAGUAUGUAGCGAAAGAGAUCGAUCGAGUGAAGAGAUGUAAGAAGGUGUCUACCAAUAAAAUCGCUGUGAAUGAAAGCUUUCUGUUUUGAGCUUGGCGAUAGCUGCCACCUGUGGGAGGAUAGAAUAAAUGUGAUCAGUAGUUCCCAAAUGUUUUCCUGUAUGCGGUAGAGUACCAGAAAGAAAUUAGUUUUUUGCUAAGGAUUUUCAUAUGGUUCGUUUCGUUGUUUUCGUGUUUAGAUGUUGCUGGGUAGUCGACCCGAAAUCGACUUCGAUCACUCUCGAAUUGGAAGCUUUUCGUUCAAGGGAUCUUCAGACUUAACCGAUGAGGAAAACACACGGCACGAAACUUUAGUUCCGACUAAUAAUUAGAAGGGU